rnacentral:rRNA from 1 species
UACGUAGGGGGCAAGCGUUGUCCGGAUUUAUUGGGCGUAAAGAGCGUGUAGGCGGCCAUACAGGUCCGUUGUGAAAACUGGAGGCUUAACCUCCAGACGUCGAUGGAAACCGUAUGGCUAGAGUCCGGAAGAGGAGAGUGGAAUUCCUGGUGUAGCGGUGAAAUGCGCAGAUAUCAGGAAGAACACCAGCGGCGAAGGCGGCACUCUGGGUUGGUAUUGACGCUGAGGAGCGAAAGUGUGGGUAGCAAACAGG